AAAGCGCGCGUAGGUGGUUCGUUAAGUUGGAUGUGAAAUCCCCGGGCUCAACCUGGGAACUGCAUUCAAAACUGACGAGCUAGAGUAUGGUAGAGGGUGGUGGAAUUUCCUGUGUAGCGGUGAAAUGCGUAGAUAUAGGAAGGAACACCAGUGGCGAAGGCGACCACCUGGACUGAUACUGACACUGAGGUGCGAAAGCGUGGGGAGCAAACAGGAUUAGAUACCCCAGU
rnacentral:rRNA from 1 species